rnacentral:rRNA from 1 species
CCUACGGGAGGCAGCAGUGGGGAAUAUUGGACAAUGGGGGAAACCCUGAUCCAGCGACGCCGCGUGAGUGAAGAAGUAUUUCGGUAUGUAAAGCUCUAUCAGCAGGGAAGAAAGAGAUGACGGUACCUGAGUAAGAAGCCCCGGCUAACGACGUGCCAGCAGCCGCGGUAAUACGUAGGGGGCAAGCGUUAUACGGAAUUACUGGGUGUAAAGGGAGCGUAGACGGUAAUGCAAGUCUGGAGUGAAAGGCGGGGGCUCAACCCCCGGACUGCUCUGGAAACUGGGUGACUGGAGUGCAGGAGAGGCAGGCGGAAUUCCUGGUGUAGCGGUGAAAUGCGUAGAUAUUAGGAGGAACACCGGUGGCGAAGGCGGCCUGCUGGACUGUAACUGACGUUGAGGCUCGAAAGCGUGGGGAGCAAACAGGAUUAGAUACCCCAGUAGUC